rnacentral:ribozyme from 1 species
AACAACCUGUGUUCUGUACAAGGGUUGGAUCCGACGCCCCUAGGAGGCUACUAUAGGCUCUCCUUCUCAACUCCUACUCAAUACGUCCACGAUGUGCAGAACGGUAACUUGUCGCCUAGAUAUCCAAGCUUGGGUACACGGGGAAACCCGCCCCCUUGGGCAGAUGGGCGGCAAAGCUGAAUAGAGAAGG